UGGGGAAUUUUUGGACAAUGGGCGAAAGCCUGAUCCAGCAAUGCCGCGUGUGUGAAGAAGGCCUUCGGGUUGUAAAGCACUUUUGUCCGGAAAGAAAUCCUUGGCUCUAAUACAGUCGGGGGAUGACGGUACCGGAAGAAUAAGCACCGGCUAACUACGUGCCAGCAGCCGCGGUAAUACGUAGGGUGCAAGCGUUAAUCGGAAUUACUGGGCGUAAAGCGUGCGCAGGCGGUUUGCUAAGACCGAUGUGAAAUCCCCGGGCUCAACCUGGGAACUGCAUUGGUGACUGGCAGGCUAGAGUAUGGCAGAGGGGGGUAGAAUUCCACGUGUAGCAGUGAAAGUGCGUAGAGAUGUGGAGGAAUACCGAUGGCGAAGGCAGCCCCCUGGGCCAAUACUGACGCUCAUGCACGAAAGCGUGGGGAGCAAACAGGAUU
rnacentral:rRNA from 1 species